UACGUAGGGUGUAAGCGUUAAUCGGAAUUACUGGGCGUAAAGCGUGCGCAGGCGGUUAUGCAAGACAGAUGUGAAAUCCCCGGGCUCAACCUGGGAACUGCAUUUGUGACUGCAUGGCUAGAGUACGGUAGAGGGGGAUGGAAUUCCGCGUGUAGCAGUGAAAUGCGUAGAUAUGCGGAGGAACACCGAUGGCGAAGGCAAUCCCCUGGACCUGUACUGACGCUCAUGCACGAAAGCGUGGGGAGCAAACAGG
rnacentral:rRNA from 1 species